rnacentral:lncRNA from 1 species
AAAUUCUUUCCCUUCUCCAUCUCCAGUAUAAAAGUCAUGAUUUUCUUAGAAUUUGCAAUGAAUGAGUUCAUGAAGGAUGAUUUUUCAUGCCCAAAUGCUAAAGCCUAUAAUGUCACCCUGGGUGUUUUGCUGAAUUCAUUGUUUUACAAAUGUUUGCAAUCAAUUUCCCCUCCUCUUGAUACAGUUGAUUAUUUUGUGCAUUACACUAUUUCUUGAAAGGACCCUUAGGAAAGAAGUUUUGACCCUUUUUGCAGAGGCCAAAUGCACCUAGUCCUUAAAAUACAUUUGCAGUAAGGUUAUUUUUUCCUAAAAAUUUUUCUUUGGCCGUCCAUGCCAAAGAAUUUGGAGGUGCUCAUAUGGGACCCUGGGCUCUGACAGAAUUUCAGGAAUGAGCCUCCAGCAUAACUUCCCUUUUAGGAUGAGUCCCAAAGGGCAAAGGGCUGGUGUGUACUUGGGCUGCCAGAGACUGGGAGUAGGGAAGGAGAAUGUGAAAGAGGGAAGGAAUGAGAGAAAAAAAUUAUUUCAGAAUGGCUGUAAGACACAACUGUCAGUAAGAGAACUUUUGCCAGUGUAAGAGAACUUUUGCCAGUGAAGUGAGAUGUGACUUCCCAAAAUUUAACACUAAUCCAUAGUAAGUGAUUAGGGAUAGGAAAUAAAGAUUUCUCUCUCCUAUUUAAAUUUUGUCAUGCAACCCUUUCUCACAGAUGGCUUGUUCUAAUGCUCCAUUCUGGCUGGUGCCUACAAAAGAGUGGAUAUUAAUCUGCUCCCUGUGAGCCUGCUACUCUGCUGUUGAAUGUCCUCUGCAUCCUCUCUGACAUCUCCUCUGGCUCAUGUGUCUUUAUUCUCUGCUCUGUGGAGUCCCUUAUCUGCAUCUUCCUUAGCCUCAAGUUGGUCAGGGUUUAUAGGAAGCUGUGUGUACUGUCCUUCCAACCUCAGCUUGCAGCUGGCACACCUGGCUGAAAUUUCUGGAGCAGGCAGCAUUCAUCUGCUGGAGAAGUGUCUUCCCCUCUCCUGA